rnacentral:rRNA from 1 species
UGGGGAAUUUUGGACAAUGGACGCAAGUCUGAUCCAGCCAUGCCGCGUGCGGGAAGAAGGCCUUCGGGUUGUAAACCGCUUUUGUCAGGGAAGAAACGAGUUUCUCUAAUACAGAGACUUAAUGACGGUACCUGAAGAAUAAGCACCGGCUAACUACGUGCCAGCAGCCGCGGUAAUACGUAGGUUGCAAGCGUUAAUCGGAAUUACUGGGCGUAAAGCGUGCGCAGGCGGUUAUGCAAGACAGAUGUGAAAUCCCCGGGCUCAACCUGGGAACUGCAUUUGUGACUGUAUAGCUAGAGUACGGCAGAGGGGGAUGGAAUUCCGCGUGUAGCAGUGAAAUGCGUAGAUAUGCGGAGGAACACCGAUGGCGAAGGCAAUCCCCUGGGCCUGUACUGACGCUCAUGCACGAAAGCGUGGGGAGCAAACA